GGCCUCCUGAUGCUUACCACAGGCUGUGUUCUUACACUGACUGUACAGAAACAGGAGGCAGAGUAAACCUAUCCCAUAUACACCUCAGCUCAGGCCCUUUGGUCUGUAUUGUGAAUGGGGAGACAUUG
rnacentral:snoRNA from 1 species